rnacentral:lncRNA from 1 species
AGAAGAAGCUUACAUGUGAAUGUUGAAUAGUGAUGUAGUGUUGUAACUCAACUCGAUUUGCAAUCUCAGGCUUUAGGCCGGCAAGGAAUCUAGCCAUAGUCACCUUAGCCUCUUCAACAAGAUUGGCUCCAAUCUGAAUAGUCUCCAUCUCUUUGUAGUAGUCAUCCACAGAUCUAUCUCCUUGAACAAGAUGUUGGAGUCUUUGAUGGAGUUCUCGAUAAUAGUAUGGUGGAACAAACCGUUUUCGCAAGAUGCGCUUCAUUUCAACCCAAGUAGUAACAGGUUGCUCUCUAUAAAGAAUCC